GCAUCUUUAGUGACUAUUUUCAGCAAAAACAUUCACACUAGCAUUAUCGAAGGCGGGGAGAGCGCCGUCAUGGAGGACCAGAUUCCUACUCCAGGAAUGAGUUAAUCCCAUAAUGACUUCCAAGGAUGGAAAAAGUCGGAUCGGCUUUUUUUGCCUGGAUGAGAAGAAGACGAGGAAAGGAAAAGACUUCGACAGGAUGAUGAAGCAACAUUUAACCCCCGAGAACGCAGACGGACUGUUAGCACGAAGCUAAUACGACACCUGCUGCAGCUGAAGCUUCACCACAGCACCUGAACACAGCAGAGAGGCAGGAAGAGAGCAGGAACACGCUGAUGUCACACUUCAGAUACAGAAGGAGGGGGCGGCCAUGUUUUUUAUGUGGCGCUGUACACCAGAGACAGAUCAACAGGUGUGCAGUGGGAAAUCUUUCAAAUGGCCAGAAGAUCAGCUCUGAUCAUCCAGUUUCACUCCGAGUAGUUUGAGCUGUGAAAGAUCCUAAUUUAUCUGAUUUAAUUGAAGACACUUUAAUGAGAAUGACUACACAAUAUUACAACAUUUUUAUUUAUGUAAUUUUAGUGUCUGUGUUCACCUUUUCUCCCUGAUUGCUGCGUCCACUCCCACCUGGUUCCCCUUCAGAAAGUCACAGCUGCCUUCAGUCAUCUCCUUUAAGCUCCUUAUGUAAGGCUGUGUCUACUGUAGCAUCUUCUAGACUUCAAUAACCUCAUGGAAAUAUUUAACUUAUUACAAACUAUUGAAAAAAAAAACAAUCAUUCAAAGUGUUUUGUCUUUAAAAAAAUCUGAAGUUCACACCACAAAUAUUGCUCAAAAAUAAGAAGUUUAACAGAAAUGUGUAAAUAGCAUGAAGAUCUGUGAAGCUAGUGAGACAAUCUGAUGCAAUAAAAAGGAAUACAUUCUGAAAGUGUGAAGUUUAUUCAGCAAAUCUGUGGAAAGAGUUAUAGAA